CUGGACGUUCCUAGUUCUUGAAUUGCCUAAAGGAACACAAGCAAUGCAGAGAAAGAAAGAAAGAACGAAAGAAAAAGAACAACAACACCUGACGCAAUCUUCCACUUGGAAAGGGCCUCCAACGAUCCCUGGUAUCCUCUGAGAGCUCUGAGCUGCCACACCAAUUUGAAGCUGACUUCAUUUUUGGUCUUCCCCUUCAGCAGAAAAGCUCAGACAGCCGAGCCAAGCGAGACGCUGGAUUUCCUUUGGCAUCAAGGAAAGCAUCGUGAGAUGUUCUGAUGCCCUCUCACAAUUCUUUCUCCCUCCGCCAGCACCAGAGCUGGCGUCCAAAGACGCAAUGACACUGCCACAGGCAUUGUGGAGAUUUCUAUGGGAUAGGCCCAUGGUAAGGCUUUAUUGACAGAGGGAGGGACAAUGAAGAUUGGAUGUCAGGGAGAAGGUCUUUCCAGAGACGGUGGUGAGAUGCUGGAAGCGGAUGCCCAGAGAGCUUGUGGACGCCGCGUCCGUGGCAGUGUUGAAGGCCAGGUUGGAUUGGGCCACUCGGCAGCCUAGUCUAGGAUUAGAUAUGAUGCAGAUGGGAUUCACGCAUCUGUUUUGCAGCCAGCUCGAGUGGAGGUCUUGGAGCUCAUGGGCGUCCCAUGCCCGCAUCAGCGUGGGUAGGGUGUGCCCUUCCUGCGCGGUGGGGCUUUGGUGUCCGGGGGCUGACGCUGAGGAGACUGUGUUUCUUCGUUUAUCGGUGGCAGAAAUCCAGCUCUGUCAGCAGAGGACUCCUGCGGCUGGCUGGCCUCAGCCUGAGAUGUUGAUGCUGCCAUCUCCUCAGAUUCUUUCUGCCUGCUCUUCUUAGCCCUGCGCCUGAGAAGUCUGACUGAGUCGCAUGCCAGAAGUGGCAGCCGGGAUGGAGUGCCUUGCGAUGCCUGCGACGGGCUGGACUGAGCCCUUGAGGAAGGUCUGGAAUCGUUGCUGAAAGAUUCCUUGGCUUUGGGCAACUUCAGCACUGCAGCCACACGAUGGGCUUUUUCCGCUUCCCGUUCUUCCUCACGGAAGCUCACGUGUUUGGUUCCUGGGGCUCGGCCCAGGUCUUCUUGGCUGUCUGUUUCUGCCUGGCCCUGCAGCUGGCAGGUCAGUGGCUGCUUUUGGUCUUCAGGCACUCCAGGGAUGGCUGGCAGCAGACUGAAAGGACAGAGCGGGAGGGGUCCGCCUGAGUGGGUGAUGGUUUUGGGGCUGCGUCCUGCAAGCCGGAGCCAGGACCCUUGGCUGCAACGCAGCCUUCCCCACAGACAGCUCAGCAGCUGCCCCG
rnacentral:lncRNA from 1 species